rnacentral:RNase_P_RNA from 2 species
AGAGCAGGGCAAAUGGUCGCUGUUCGAUAGGGGUUAUCCCAAAACGUGACUCCUACGAAGAGAGGAAAGUCCGGGCUCCACAGGGUAGGGUGCUCCGUAACACGGAGUCCCGGUGACGGGAAGGAAAGUGCCACAGAAAAUAUACCGCCCCUCAUCCAGUUCUCAUUUUCGAGGUCGGCAUUCAAUAUCCGCCAAAAUCACUUAGGACUGGGCGCGGGGUAAGGGUGAAAAGGCGAGGUAAGAGCUCACCGCUCUGGUGGUGACAUCGGAGGCUUGGCAAACCCCACCCGGAGCAAGACCACAUUGUCCCGUAAAGGGUAACCAAUACGGGAAACAGAACCCGGCUUAUGACCUGCUCUAACA